ACAGCACUGUCAAUCAAUUUGUGUGUUUAAUGGUCUAAUCAUUACAGCUGGACUUUUAGGCCGUUACAUUGUUGGCUAAUUUACUUUAUAAUAA